rnacentral:tRNA from 1 species
UGCCCUAGUAGCUCAACGCCAGAGCACCGGUCUUGUAAUCCGGAGGCCGGAGGUUUGACCCCUCCCUAGCGC